AGCGAACGCUGGCGGCAGGCCUAACACAUGCAAGUCGAACGAACUCUUCGGAGUUAGUGGCGGACGGGUGAGUAACACGUGGGAACGUGCCUUUUGGUUCGGAAUAACUCAGGGAAACUUGUGCUAAUACCGAAUGUGCCCUUCGGGGGAAAGAUUUAUCGCCAUUAGAGCGGCCCGCGUCUGAUUAGCUAGUUGGUGAGGUAACGGCUCACCAAGGCGACGAUCAGUAGCUGGUCUGAGAGGAUGACCAGCCACACUGGGACUGAGACACGGCCCAGACUCCUACGGGAGGCAGCAGUGGGGAAUCUUGCGCAAAGGGCGAAAGCCUGACGCAGCCAUGCCGCGUGAAUGAUGAAGGUCUUAGGAUUGUAAAAUUCUUUCACCGGGGACGAUAAUGACGGUACCCGGAGAAGAAGCCCCGGCUAACUUCGUG
rnacentral:rRNA from 1 species